rnacentral:rRNA from 1 species
CAGUCGCCACGGUAAUACGUAGGGUGCAAGCGUUAAUCGGAAUUACUGGGCGUAAAGCGUGCGCAGGCGGUGUUGUAAGACUGAUGUGAAAUCCCCGGGCUCAACCUGGGAACUGCAUUGGUGACUGCAACGCUGGAGUGCGGCAGAGGGGGAUGGAAUUCCGCGUGUAGCAGUGAAAUGCGUAGAUAUGCGGAGGAACACCGAUGGCGAAGGCAAUCCCCUGGGCCUGUACUGACGCUCAUGCACGAAAGCGUGGGGAGCAAACAGGAUUAGAUACCCCCGUAGUCCCUGUCUCUUAUAC